rnacentral:rRNA from 1 species
AACGAACGCUGGCGGCAGGCUUAACACAUGCAAGUCGAACGCAUCCUUCGGGGUGAGUGGCAGACGGGUGAGUAACGCGUGGGAACGUGCCCUUCAGUUCGGGAUAACCCAGGGAAACUUGGCUAAUACCGGAUACGUGCGCGAGCAGAAAGAUUUAUCGCUGAAGGAUCGGCCCGCGUCUGAUUAGCUAGUUGGUGGGGUAAUGGCCCACCAAGGCGACGAUCAGUAGCUGGUCUGAGAGGAUGAUCAGCCACACUGGGACUGAGACACGGCCCAGACUCCUACGGGAGGCAGCAGUGGGGAAUAUUGGACAAUGGGCGCAAGCCUGAUCCAGCCAUGCCGCGUGAGUGAUGAAGGCCUUAGGGUUGUAAAGCUCUUUCAGUGGGGACGAUAAUGACGGUACCCGCAGAAGAAGCCCCGGCUAACUUCGUGCCAGCCGCCGCGGUAA